rnacentral:rRNA from 1 species
GAUCAACGCUGGCGGCGUGCAUGAGACAUGCAAGUCGAACGGACACUCAGGGCUUGCUCUGUGUGUUAGUGGCGGACGGCUGAGUAACGCGUAGGUGACCUGCCCCGAAGUGGGGAAUAACUGCCCGAAAGGGUGGCUAAUACCGCAUGUGGUGAUGCGUUCAUUCGCAUCAGUAAAGCCGCAAGGCGCUUCGGGAGGGGCCUGCGUCCGAUUAGCUCGUUGGUGGGGUAACGGCUCACCAAGGCGACGAUCGGUAGGUGGUCUGAGAGGACGAUCACCCAGACUGGGACUGAGACGCGGCCCAGACUCCUACGGGAGGCAGCAGUCGGGAAUUUUGCGCAAUGGACGAAAGUCUGACGCAGCAACGCCGCGUGAGGGAUGACGGCCUUCGGGUUGUAAACCUCUUUUGUCAGGGACGAUAAUGACGGUACCUGACGAAUAAGCCACGGCUAACUACGUGCCAGCAGCCGCGGUAACAC